rnacentral:rRNA from 1 species
UACGAAGGGUGCAAGCGUUACUCGGAAUUACUGGGCGUAAAGGGUGCGUAGGUGGUUUGUUAAGUCCGUUGUGAAAUCCCUGGGCUCAACCUGGGAAUGGCAGUGGAUACUGGCAAGCUAGAGUGCGGUAGAGGGUAGUGGAAUUCCCGGUGUAGCGGUGAAAUGCGUAGAGAUCGGGAGGAACACCAGUGGCGAAGGCGGCUACCUGGACCAGCACUGACACUCAGGCACGAAAGCGUGGGGAGCAAACAGG